rnacentral:ncRNA from 2 species
GAUACCGACACGGGAGUCCGGUGCGCCGGACUGAGAGCAGGGCACGGAGCCCUGGACCGUCGAACCUGAUCCGGAUCAUGCCGGCGAAGGGACGUCCUCUCAUCGGUUC